CCCAGCUUUCCCUGGUGGCCCUGGCAUCUUCAGGCCUCCAUUCAGAUGCAGGCACGAGGCAGAGGCCAGGGCGGCAUCUCCCUCCAGCACGGCAGAGUCCUGACAGCCUGGGCUGGGCAGGGGGCAGCUGGUGUCCACGUUUGCUGGGAGCAGACAAGAAAAAGGGGUUACAGGGCUCACAAAGUGGGGCCAGGUGGGUCCCAGAGAGAGGGUCCCUUGGAACACACAGUGAGGAAGAUGGGGCUGGAGCAAGCGGAGCCUCCAAGGUCCUCACUGCACCUCUCCUGCUGCAGAACUCCUCCUGCUUAAGACUGAUACAUUCUUUCCCCCCUAAAAAACAAUAGGGGAAGGUGGAAACUCACACUUGCACUUCGAGCCCUCCUGCUAAACCCUGCCAGAGGCAGAGCAGCCCGGCCCUUGGUGCCUCGCCCUCCCCGACCGCCUGCCACUUAAAAAUAGACUUGUUUACACACUUUGAACGCAAGCGCGUGCCACCAGCCCUAAGCUUCCUGCAAUGUUCCUUGCAUCCAGUGCUGCAGCAGUGGGCUUCCCAGGGUGCAGACUAGGGGCACAGGGACCAUGGUGUACGGCAGGGGAGUAUCCGAGGGGUGCUUCUGAUGUUCUCCAUCACGGCCAGACCUCUCUUGCCACCAGAUUUCUCCCUCUUCUUUCGUUCUAGGUAUUUUUCCCGGCUGUGUGCAUCAUGAGCCGCUGCAACCGCACUUGGUAUAGUGGAAAAGCCCCAGGAAAGAAAAGGAUCAGCCACUUGCUCUCAGAUGAAGGAAGCAACUGGAGACCCAGCGUUGCAGCAGCUAUGGCCUGCAGGCUCUUUCUAACGAGAUCUCUGCCGCUUGCUGGCCUGGACUGAGGCUGGGAGCUCUUCCACACUCCCUUCCUGGCCUGUCCACCUCCUCCUGUGCUGAGAAAAUGUUUGAAUUCACACAUUAUAACGCUUACUCAUGGAGAAAAUCACCGCUGACUUCCCCAGCGGCACUUGCACGUGUUCCCACUCAUCACUGUGGUCCAGGCUGCCUGUCUGACUCUGGGCAUCAGCCAUCCUCCGCUUCGUCUCCCCCAUCUUCGCCUUCCCUACCUUUCAUAACAGCGCUUGAUUGGUUUUGGAGAAGCAAAAGUUAAAGCUUGGUGAGUAGUUUGAACUGUUUGCAUCUAAGAGCUGAAUACGCUUGAUAAUA